rnacentral:rRNA from 1 species
UAGGGAAUCUUCCACAAUGGACGCAAGUCUGAUGGAGCAACGCCGCGUGAGUGAAGAAGGUUUUCGGACCGUAAAGCUCUGUUGUUGGUGAAGAAGGAUAGAGGCAGUAACUGGCCUUUAUUUGACGGUAAUCAACCAGAAAGUCACGGCUAACUACGUGCCAGCAGCCGCGGUAAUACGUAGGUGGCAAGCGUUGUCCGGAUUUAUUGGGCGUAAAGCGAGCGCAGGCGGAAGAAUAAGUCUGAUGUGAAAGCCCUCGGCUUAACCGAGGAAUUGCAUCGGAAACUGUUUUU